UUAUGGGGGUUCUAUGUGUUGAGAUUUGGUGACAUUGUUGGAUUGAGAUUAUGAGUGAAGAGUGAUAGUUUAGUAUUUUUGAGAUAUUAUUGAAAUUAGUUGUUUCGAAUUACAGGAGACGGAGGAGGUGCGAAUUAAAAGCGAGGGUCGAAUUUGCUUUUAGAGGACACGACGAGACAGAAAAUUGCGUUAACAAGGGCAACUACAUGGAGCUUGCAGAGCUAAGUCCCCUCAUGUUCCCUGAUUAAGAGGUGAGGACUACUCCACUCCACUACCAUUGUCUACCACUUUCUCCUGACAUGAACUGAAGCCACAUCUCAUAUGCCCGCUCAUACACUGACAUUGAAUGUUUCCUCUCCAAGCACUUCAAAUACUGAUCAAGCCUCGGAACACCUCAACUCAUGCCUCAUACAAUUACUCCUGUGAUCCCUUUCCCACAC